GACGAACGCUGGCGGCGUGCUUAACACAUGCAAGUCGAACGGAAAGGCCCUGCUUUUGUGGGGUGCUCGAGUGGCGAACGGGUGAGUAACACGUGAGUAACCUGCCCUUGACUUUGGGAUAACUUCAGGAAACUGGGGCUAAUACCGGAUAGGAGCUCCUGCUGCAUGGUGGGGGUUGGAAAGUUUCGGCGGUUGGGGAUGGACUCGCGGCUUAUCAGCUUGUUGGUGGGGUAGUGGCUUACCAAGGCUUUGACGGGUAGCCGGCCUGAGAGGGUGACCGGCAGAUUGGGGGGGGAGAGACCGCGAGGGGGCCACCGGGAGGAGGGGGUGGGGAAUAUUGCAAAAGUGGCGGGGGGGUGAAGCAGGAGCGACGGGUGCGGAAUGGGGGGAUUCGGGUUGAAAAACGCUUUCGUGGGGGACGAAGGGUGGGGGGGGGUAAUGGGAAAAAACGCCCGGGAAACCUUGG
rnacentral:rRNA from 1 species